rnacentral:rRNA from 1 species
GACGAACGCUGGCGGCGUGCCUAAUACAUGCAAGUCGAACGCAGUGGGGACGGGUGAGUAACACGUGGGUAACCUCCCAUCAGAGGGGAUAAAACUUGGAAACAGGUGCUAAACCGAUACUGAUGGAUGGACCCGCUGUGCAUUAGCUAGUUGGGGGGGUAACGGCGUACCAAGGCCACGAUGCAUAGCCGACGUGAGAGGGGGAUCGGCCACACGGGAACUGAGACACGGGCCAGACUCCUACGGGAGGCAGCAGUAGGGAAUCUUCGGCAAUGGACGAAAGUCUGACCGAGCAACGCCGAGUGAUUGAAGAAGGUUUUCGGAUCGUAAAACUCUGUUGUUAGAGAGGCGGUAUCUAACCAGAAAGCCACGGCUAACUACGUGCCAGCAGCCGCGGUAAUAC